GGGGCAGCGGGAAGGUUAGCUUGCUAACCUUUGCCGGCGACCGGCGCACGGGUGAGUAACACGUAUGCAACCUGUCCGGUACAGGGGGAUAAGCGGCGGAAACGCCGUCUAAUACCGCGUGACAACCCGAGGGGGCAUCCCCUUGGGUUCAAAGGAGAGAUCCGGUACCGGCUGGGCAUGCGGCGCAUUAGCUAGUUGGCGGGGCAACGGCCCACCAAGGCGACGAUGCGUAGGGGUUCUGAGAGGAAGGUCCCCCACACUGGAACUGAGACACGGUCCAGACUCCUACGGGAGGCAGCAGUGAGGAAUAUUGGUCAAUGGGCGCAAGCCUGAACCAGCCAAGUCGCGUGAGGGAAGACGGCCCUACGGGUUGUAAACCUCUUUUGCCGGGGAGCAAGCCUGAGCACGUGUGCCCAGGCGGAGAGUACCCGGAGAAAAAGCAUCGGCUAACUCCGUGCCAGCAGCCGCGGUAAUACGGAGGAUGCGAGCGUUAUCCGGAUUUAUUGGGUUUAAAGGGUGCGCAGGCGGGCUGUUAAGCCGGCGGUAAAAAUUCAGGGCUCAACCCUGUCGAGCCGUCGGAACUGGCAGUCUUGAGUGGGCGAGAAGUAUGCGGAAUGCGUGGUGUAGCGGUGAAAUGCAUAGA
rnacentral:rRNA from 1 species